rnacentral:lncRNA from 1 species
ACGUAUUCCGUCAAGCGCUGUAAUUUACUGGAAUCCAGUUUCUGCUCUGUUGCAACAGCCUGCUUCUUCACGGUUAGCAUUUGAGAGGAGGGAUCCAAGGUCCAACCACGUUGUAGCGUAUCUGCAAGUAACCGAGAAGUGUUAGCACAAGUUAGUAGUAGCAUUCAUUUCCAUUCCACCAAUUUACCGUACAAGGGACGAGUUGCAUUCAAGCUGAUUAAAGUGCCAUUUUUCAACAGUUCCAAGUUUGGUAAGAGUUAAGGACAAUGAAAGAUCCUAUAGAAACAUUAAAAUUACUUUAAAGAUAGGGAAAUGAUAAUUAUAUACAUGGUGAGGAGUGUCAACAAUGACAUUAAAAUUCUCUCGUCAUCGGUCAGUGUCAUAAAAAUUACUUAAUCUAUUUCUUCAUCUUAACCACCCCACCAAUCCCAAAACUAGAUUAAGAGGUAGGCUUUACAUAAUUUAUCCACCCAAAAUUCUACCUGCACGGUCACUGAUUUUCAAAUUAUUUCAACCUCAAUACAAAGACAUUCCACUUGCAGAUUAAGCCAUUGUUUGAGCCUCAUUUUUUCAUCAAAAUACAUUUUUCAACAAUGAUUUGAUUUCAUUUUGACCACACAUUUUUAAUAAAAUAAUGUUACACGUAAUGUCAAAAAAAAAUUUUAUUUUUUAAAUACACAUUCUUCAUCAUAACACUAUUUCAAAAUGCAUUUGUUUGAGAAAAAUGGGGCUCAAACAACCCCUAAACAAGCAUUAACCUUUAAAUUUGCACAAAUGUUAUAAGCCAUGUGAAAAAGGAUGAGAGGUUACAGUUUGCAGCAUCAUCAGCAUUCAGUCCGAGGAAAAGAGCUGUAUCUUGUGUGCUUAUUGUAGAAUAAGCAGAAACCAGCAGCUCAAACAUCUUUUUUGUGUAAAGUUCUGCAGAAAACUCGAAUUACAAAAUAAAAUCAAAAUCAGAUGCCCAGGAUCGCUAGUCAAACAGCACAAAAAAUAAUAUGGGCACUCCUUUGGCAUUCAAAUAAUCAAUAUUUUUGGGUGCUGGAGGAAUCAACACACAUAGUAACACGCAAUAUUGUGUACUCGUGUAACUCGUCUACAGGAAAAUUCUCAAAAUUCAUUUUCAGUUAAUUUACUAGAAGAAUCUAUUACCGAAGAAACGUGUUCAUUUCUUAUCCAUUUGCAGAAUCUGUAUAACCCUUUUAUUUUUCAUAAAGGUUUGAGAAUAAAUAUCCCUGCAUGCAUAGGUAUAGUUCAGAGAGUUUCUUGAAACUCUUAUUUGUCAUUUUUAUAUUAUUACAUCCCAUCUUGCAAAUUUUGGGCUUGUCACAAAUUUGGACACCUGUUUUCUAACAAAAUAUUAUUUUCCUUUACUUCGACUAGUGGGAUUCAUGUCACGUAUGCUGUUGGACAACACUUUUAACGAUUCUAAUUUCACUUUCUUCCUUAAAGGCUACUCUAAUAAAAAAAAAAUAUGUACUGGGAUAUUUCUUCGUAAUGUCCUAAACAACUAUUCUAUUUUAUGUACAGUUACAGUUCUUGGUAAUAAUGUGUUUGUAACAACCAGUCCAGUCGUUUUCUAUUUAUUUGGACCAUUCCACUUUUGUUCGUCUGUUGGGUCACAAUUGCAUCAUAUUCUUUCCGAGUCCCUAGAAAGAAGGGUCACAUCUUCACAUUAGCAAUCCUGCAGGUAUAAAAUUAGAACGCAGCUUCUGUUAUUGACAAUAUGGUUAUCGUCGUCACUGCAGAAACUGGUCAUUCCAACACAUUCAGCCAACCGAUUAACUGAAUGAAAAUACAUUUGAAGCAAAAGCGAAAUGAACUAAUCGCAUUUGAGUCUACACUUCCAGCAAUUGAAUGCCUUGCCGGCGUAUCUGAGCAAGUGCACAUUGGCUUGAUUAACUAUAACAGUGAACGCUGAUGAAACAACUCAAGGUUUUGGAACAAAAACUAGAUAUCAUUUUACAUUUAUAACGUAUUCGAGCAGGUGCUCAUUGGCUUGAUUAACGAUAACAGUGAAGACUGAUGAAACAACUCAAGGUUUUGGAACAAAAACUAGAUAUCAUUUUACAUCGUCCAGAGCUGAUCGGAACUGAUAUAUAUAACUGAGUGUAAAGGAUUAAUGCUCAAGAUUGAAAACGUAUUCCGUCAAGCGCUGUAAUUUACUGGAAUCCAGUUUCUGCUCUGUUGCAACAGCCUGCUUCUUCACGGUUAGCAUUUGAGAGGAGGGAUCCAAGGUCCAACCACGUUGUAGCGUAUCUGCAAGUAACCGAGAAGUGUUAGCACAAGUUAGUAGUAGCAUUCAUUUCCAUUCCACCAAUUUACCGUACAAGGGACGAGUUGCAUUCAAGCUGAUUAAAGUGCCAUUUUUCAACAGUUCCAAGUUUGGUAAGAGUUAAGGACAAUGAAAGAUCCUAUAGAAACAUUAAAAUUACUUUAAAGAUAGGGAAAUGAUAAUUAUAUACAUGGUGAGGAGUGUCAACAAUGACAUUAAAAUUCUCUCGUCAUCGGUCAGUGUCAUAAAAAUUACUUAAUCUAUUUCUUCAUCUUAACCACCCCACCAAUCCCAAAACUAGAUUAAGAGGUAGGCUUUACAUAAUUUAUCCACCCAAAAUUCUACCUGCACGGUCACUGAUUUUCAAAUUAUUUCAACCUCAAUACAAAGACAUUCCACUUGCAGAUUAAGCCAUUGUUUGAGCCUCAUUUUUUCAUCAAAAUACAUUUUCCAACAGUGAUUUGACAUCAUUUCAACCACACAUUUUUCAAUAAAAAUAAUAUUAUAUGCAUACCCAAAAUUUUUCCUUAUUUUUUAACCACACAUUCUUCAUCAUAACACUAUUUCAAAAUGCAUUUGUUUGAGAAAA